CAUUGUUCCAUAUUGGAGGAGAAUCAUUUUAAAGGUCAAGUUGGCCUUUUGCCCCAACCAUGAGAUUCUUCAGGAAGAUGUUGAGAGAUGGUACUCAGAUGAGUGCAAUAAUGGUGAUCUUUGCCUUCUCAAAACAGCUGGAACUUUCUGCAAGAUGCUUGAACAUAAUUGCUCUCCCUCAGGUAAAAGGAUUUAGUGCAAGAAGAGGAACAGUUGAUGGAAGAAAGGAAAAAGAGAAAAGAAGACAAGAAAAAGAAGGAAGCUGCUCAAAAAAAGGUAUGUGAAUCAUUUUAAGUGUUUUUAUUUUAAAAUAGGAUUUGGCUUUGUGUUUUUCCUCAGACUAAUUUUGCUUAUUGUAAUAUAGCUGUUAAAGAUAAGCCUUUUUUUUUUUUUUUUUAAA
rnacentral:lncRNA from 1 species